rnacentral:rRNA from 1 species
GACGAACGCUGGCGGCGUGCCUAAUACAUGCAAGUCGAGCGAUCAGGCGUGGUGCUUGUACCACCGGUGUGAGCAGCGGACGGGUGAGUAACGCGUGGAUAACCUACCUAUUAGCGUGGGAUAACAUCUGGAAACGAGAGCUAAUACCGCAUAAAAACUUUAAACACAUGGUUUAAGAGUGAAAGAUGCACUUGCUUUACCUAAUAGUUAGCUCCGCGCUGCAUUAGCUAGUUGGUAAGGUAACGGCUAACCAAGGCAACGAUGCAUAGCCGACCUGAGAGGGUGAUCGGCCACACUGGAACUGAGACACGGUCCAGACUCCUACGGGAGGCAGCAGUAGGGAAUCUUCCGCAAUGGGCGAAAGCCUGACGGAGCAACGCCGCGUGAGUGAUGAAGGUCUUCGGAUCGUAAAACUCUGUUAUUAGGGAAGAACAUAUGUGUAAGUAACUGUGCACAUCUUGACGGUACCUAAUCAGAAAGCCACGGCUAACUACGUG